CUUAAUCCAUGUAAUGUAUCCAUUCCUAACAUAUGGAAAGGGCUUCGGUAUGGAUUAGCUGGUCUAGUAUUGAACUACGGGACCCAAAAGACAUAUUUACCUUUGACAGAUUUCUGUUCAGAUACAUAUGAUGUCGACAAUAUACAUUCUAGGGAUACGUAUGUAGAAUGUAAAGAUUGGAAAUAUGCUUAUUCUAGAGUUCUCUGCAAAUAUGAAGGUGACUGUGGGGAGAAUGCUGAAUGUAUCUCACAAGGGGCAAUAGGUAUCUGUUACUGCAAGUCAUCCCAUAUCAGAAUCAAUGGUUAUUGCUACAGGGCUGCUGUUCUUGUUGGCGGUAAAUGUGUAUUAGAUAUUCAGUGUAGAGACAUAACCUACUCCGGCGUUUGCCUGAAUAUUAUUUGUAUAUGUAGAGUGGGAUACGUUGCUCUACGAAACAGUUGUUA